UAUUCUUUUCUGUGCACACCUGGCUUACCUGUCCACUGUUAAGAAUGUGCUGGAUGGAGACGGUGGACUUUAUGGUCAGCAGACCAUCACAGGGGCACUAAGAGCAACAAAUACUCCUGCUCCAUUUGGUGAGUAUGGUGAUGUGGUUGGCUGGUGCGGAGUAACAGUCUCACCCCACUAUUUGGUUGACUGCCUCAUUCAGGAGUACCAUAGGCAGGAGAGCACACUCAAUCUGCUCCUCCAAGGCACGUUUGGACAAGCAUUAAGGGCUGACCAUACCCGCAAGGUGGCCCGGAAGGUUGUGCUUGCAUCAGGUACUAUGUCAUCCUACGCUGUGAUGAAUGAAAACUGGAUGAUCUUGUCCUGGGUGAUGCUGCAGUCUGAAAGUGAUAAAUCGCUGCAGCCAAUGUAUGAGGGGCUGUCUCGUCGGUACAUAUUUGCAGGACUGCCAAAAGCCAACUACCAAUGGGUUGACAGAGAUUGCUGUGCUGCCUUCAGGAUCCCAAACCCUGAGCCCCAGGAGCACCUCCUCUGGGAUUCUUGGAAGACCACUGAGGCUAUAGUGGCUGCGGCAACCUCUGGGCAUCUCAUCAACACCUGUGCCUCCCGCAAAGAAUAUAACAGUGACAUCAACAUCAAGCUGGACUUGUUCCAUUGCAUGCGGCGGUUCUCCAGAGAGUGUGUGUCAGAGCACCAUCCACUGCACAGUGCUUUCUGCAAGUUUCUGUCAGCAGCUUUUAGUGUUGUGGACCAGACGGACCUACAGAGACUGAAGCAGGCUUAUGUUUUCUGUGGGAUAGUGCCUGCAAAUCCAACAAAGCAGCACAUCAGGGAGCACUGCCGCACCAGGGUCCCACACCCCAAAGAGCUGCUGGAGAGAGUGGAGAGCGUUCUCCAAAGAUUCUUUUUAGAAUGCGAUCCUGAUGGUGUGCCAUUGUUCAAACCAUCGAUGUUGAAGGUGUGGAGGAUUCAGCGAGUCCACAUCCUCAGAGGCUGCCUUAGUGACCCAGAGGUUGCAGAGGGGAUGCUCUAUAGGU
rnacentral:lncRNA from 1 species